UCUGGGCCGCUUCACGCAGCGUGCGCUUCCGCUCUGACGUCACCACGCCGUGCCGGCCCGCGCCAACUAGUCCCAUGGAGCCUUGCCACCGCCCACCGUACCUCCUCCCGUACUGUAUUGAGAGCUGUAGCUGCUAUGUGGGACCCUCGGGUGACCUGGUGUCCUGCUGGGGCUCCAGAGUGGUCUAGGAGGCCCUUAGUUCUUUAUAGCUAAAAUAGAUCCAAGCCGCUUAAUUUGUAAUAUUUUUAGCCACAAGGAUAAUAAAAGAGUUUUACGAGGUAACUUCUCCCGAAGUUGGAGUUGGCAAAAUUUGCUCUAACCCCUGCGCGAUUUUGUUAAUUUGUGUAGAAUGUGUGACCUUUUGCUUCCUUCUGGUGCCCUCUCCGAACUUUCCGAAUUUGCGAGGCGCAGCUUCAGUAUGUGCACCGAGAAGCCUAGGGCCGACCUCCGCCCCCUUUGACGCCCCCUUUGACGGGUGUAAGCAGUACACCCUGCUGUCGUGUAUGGAGGACGAACUUAAAGUGACCCGCACAGAAUCUGGAAAGGACUGUUACACUGUAUUUUUAAGGAACAGGAAUGUGAACCACAUCGGUUCCCCCCAAAAUCUUGUGGAUGAGCGUUUUCUAUCAAAAGUCAAGGUUUAAUGAGUGAGAGGACGAUUGCUCUCACUGCUUGGCUUGCGAAACAGUGACAGUGCCACAGUUAUCCGUAAUCUGGAAAAUCCCUAGUUUCCAAAAAUAGUUUUAGGAUAAGAACCUUACAGAGAUAAUCUGAUUAUGCCUGAGAGUCCUGGUUAGCGCAAAUAAGAGAAGUCGAUCUCAUUUAUAUUUUUUCCUGUGACGUUAGCUAACAAUUCCCAAAAUUUCCUGAAAUUUGAAGUAAAAACAAUGAUACUGAAUGAAACUACUGGAGUCCAGAGUUAGAGAAAAAGGACUUGACCAUCUUGGUUUACUUCAACCAACUUUAUAUCCCACCCUUGAAUUUCUUAGAGAUUGUCUAGGGAUGAGAUUCCCCACAACUUUUCUACUACAUAGUUCCGUUGUAAGGCUUAAUUUAUUUAACUAUGAAAAAAGCAUUGAAACUUUGAUCUGUAGGGUAAAGGGAAUUUGAAUACAUUUUUAUUUUGUCAGUGAUGUCCCUGAGAUAGGAUAGUAAGAAGCUAGGACAAUUCUUUGGCCAGCGGCAUGGGGAAACAGACAGCUGAACAAACUGACCCCAGCAAUUUACAACCAGAUACAGAAGCUACCCUCCAUGGAGAUGACUUCUAGGCUUCAGAUGUAUUUCAGCUCCAGGCCCAGAAAAGCAGCAAAACCAGGUGGGCAGUGCCAGGACCAGCUGCAAUGACUAAUGACCCCCUGCCCUGGCAUUGACCAAUAAGUGAAGACCAUGGUCCUGAAAGUUUACACCUGGAGAAGCUGAUGAAUGUUCUAUUGAGAUCUUCCCCUACGACCUCCCAAACCCUAAAAACUGUCAAAAUGAAGGUCCCAGCACAUGCUGUCCUUCCUAGAAGCAUGUUGUUCUUUUCCUUUUCCCCUCUUUCCCAACAGGCUGCACAGGAUUCCCAGGAGACUUGUAACCAGGUGAGAAAUGGGCAGUGGCAGCUUGUCCUUGGCUAAACCCCUGAACCUGUCUCCAAAACACUGUUUCUGCUGACUUCUCAGGAUUGAGCCUGCAACUGUGGAGUGUCUGGAUGAUGCUCUGACUAACUGAGAUACCUGGCCAUGUCAUCCUGUUUCUUCUUUCCUCUGACUUCCCAGUGCGCCAAAACAGCCCUGCCUAGGCCCCCACCUGCUUCUUCUAUCCUAGGCCCUUCCAUGUUUCACUGUCCCCCGCUUCAAUAAACAUACUCUGUAAAUCA